rnacentral:miRNA from 1 species
AGUCCCGAAACCUUAGUCCCGGCU